CAGCAACAGUAGGGCCCUGGUAGUGUCCCUGGGCUUUACUCCACUGGGCUCAUCCAGACACACCAAGCAUAGGCAGCUCUCGAUCAGAGCCAGAGAGUCCCUGUUGGUUUGAUCUGGACAGGAGAGGAAAGGAGGUGCUCUCAGUGGUCCUGUAGUUUGAAAUCUGAUGAAGGAAUCACGUAUCUGCAUUAGAGGCCAUUACAGCAGCACGUACACCAUGUCUCUCAUGUCAGAAGUGUGAUGGAGUGUGAAAAGUGUCCUCAGAGGCCGGCGUCCUGACCUGGUUCUUGCACGCUACAAUGAUGUGCUCCGGCGCUGAGGAGGCUGCAUUCAUCUGGACCUUCAGCAUGUCUGUCUUUAGUGCCGGGUAGCGGUAGGAGGUGAAGAGGCGGUAGUACUGCUCCAUGCACAUGGGGGUCCCAGCUAGCUGGCCUCGAGCAAAAUCCACUUUCAGCGCUCGCCUGCGAGACAUUAUUACACACAUCAGACUACCUCAGAUGACUCUCGCGCUUGUACUUCGUUUUAUUUUCAUCUUAAAUUCACAGAUGAGGUCUGAGACGUGCAGGUUGGCAGGUAAUCCAUUACAGGUGAAACUUACGUAUCAACGAGAGCCUUGUAGUCCAGCACUCCUCUGAUCAGAUGAGCCGCAAAUCUUGAAAGAGUAAAAAGUUUGAAAUUAAAAAAGAAAAUAGGGUGCAGAAUUUGAGGUGACCAUACACAGCAAACAGUUUAGAAUUAGAUGUACUCCCAUCUCUCAAAGGGCUAACAGUAAUAACAUUAUGGUAAAUUACUAGGAUACAGUGGGCGAGCUGUGUGUGUUUAUCUGUGUUAGUGAGAGAGACAGUCUGUAUGUGUGAGUGGGCGGUGUGGGCAAAUAGGGAAAACACAGAGCCCUGUCAGGUCUUAUGCUGUGUGUCAUUUGUCUCAGCGUUAUUACGUUCAAAGCCAGAUCAAUACAAAGGAGGCGGCCGCAGAGCACCACACCCUUAAAUGAGGCCUGACUAGCAGUCUCUGUGGAGAGCUUGGUCCUGUCACUCCCAAUCUAAUGAGUGUCUGUGUGAGUGGAUUACCAGCUCGGGGGUGCUCUGGAAAUAUUCAGUUAGUGCGGCACGAGCUGACAAAAGCUAAUGUUGAGUUACAGGGCUGGAUGGACUGGUGUGAUGUCUGGUGGGCGCAUGGCCCAUUGAAUAACGAGUAGAGCUUUGGCCAGGAGACAACGCCAGUGAUUUUUUUUUUUUUUUUUUUUGUCCGUUUCUGUAACUCAGAUCUUAAUCUGAGUUUGUGCCUGCUGACAAGAACAAAAACCCUGUCAGUGGCUGCAAAAGUGAGUCAUAGAUUGUAUUGUAGUUGGAAAACGAAACCUAUGCAGUUUAGAGGAUGUUGUUUUCAGUAGUUUUCAAGAGAACCUGACACGUGGAUAUUCUCAAGCCAUCUGCAAUGAUCUAGUAGUUAAUAGUUAUGCAUUGUAACAGCUAAAAAAGGUGAGUGGAU